rnacentral:rRNA from 14 species
UCCGUAGGGUGAACCUGCGGAAGGAUCAUUA